rnacentral:rRNA from 1 species
GAUGAACGCUGGCGGCGUGCCUAAUACAUGCAAGUAGAACGCUGAAGCUUGGUGCUUGCACCGAGCGGAUGAGUUGCGAACGGGUGAGUAACGCGUAGGUAACCUGCCUGGUAGCGGGGGAUAACUAUUGGAAACGAUAGCUAAUACCGCAUGACAACAGUUAUUGCAUGAUAACUGUUUAAAAGGGGCAAUUGCUCCACUACCAGAUGGACCUGCGUUGUAUUAGCUAGUUGGUGAGGUAACGGCUCACCAAGGCGACGAUACAUAGCCGACCUGAGAGGGUGAUCGGCCACACUGGGACUGAGACACGGCCCAGACUCCUACGGGAGGCAGCAGUAGGGAAUCUUCGGCAAUGGACGGAAGUCUGACCGAGCAACGCCGCGUGAGUGAAGAAGGUUUUCGGAUCGUAAAGCUCUGUUGUAAGAGAAGAACGAGUGUGAGAGUGGAAAGUUCACACUGUGACGGUAUCUUACCAGAAAGGGACGGCUAACUACGUGCCAGCAGCCGCGGUAAUACGUAGGUCCCGAGCGUUGUCCGGAUUUAUUGGGCGUAAAGCGAGCGCAGGCGGUUAGAUAAGUCUGAAGUUAAAGGCUGUGGCUUAACCAUAGUACGCUUUGGAAACUGUUUAACUUGAGUGCAAGAGGGGAGAGUGGAAUUCCAUGUGUAGCGGUGAAAUGCGUAGAUAUAUGGAGGAACACCGGUGGCGAAAGCGGCUCUCUGGCUUGUAACUGACGCUGAGGCUCGAAAGCGUGGGGAGCAAACAGG